rnacentral:lncRNA from 1 species
UAAUUGUUACAGGAAGCAGAAGCAAAGGUAGAGACAACCACUACAACAAAAUUAGUUUAUAGAAACACGUUUUUAAGACACUUUUGUAUAAGUAUCCCAUUUAUGCUAAAACUUUUUUAAAAAAUUCACUAAGGUCUAAAUAUAAAGUUUAAUCUAAUUAAAAAUAAAAAGUUUCUCAACUCAACCAAUCCUACCCUGCCCACUUGGCCGAUUACAAAUAGAAAAGGGGAAAAAAAAUGAUCACCAUCUGCUCUUCUCCUCCUUCGUUGCCGCAGCCGACGAGAUAGGGUUCCGGCGGCUAGAGUUCGGCCGCGAGGAUCUUGCAGGGACCGUAGAGGAUUGCGAUCACCACGUGUUUCUCCGCCACAGAUUGCUGGAGGAGUGGGUAUCAAACAUCAAGGCGGCCCUACAUAUAGCGAUCCCAUAUAUAGCAACAUUUUUAAAAAAUGUUGGUAAUUUAGCUAGCGAUAUUUUUUUUAGAUCUGUACCGAUAUUUAAAAGUAUCGAUAUACACUAUUUUUGUUGUAAUGAGCGGCCAUCGAGACCGUAUUGUCGAA